GCCAAAGCUGCGGGGUAACGAACAGAAACGCGAUUGAGGCUCUGGGAGUCAUUGAGGUGAGCGGCCCCAGGACUGCGAAACCGUCUUCCGACAACCUCCUGAGUAGAUCGCGUGCUCGCGCAGCGAAAGUUC
rnacentral:autocatalytically_spliced_intron from 1 species